AGAACGAACGCUGGCGGCGCGUUUAAGCAUGCAAGUCGAGCGGCAAGGGCCUUCGGGCCCCUAGAGCGGCGGACGGGUGAGUAACACGUGGACAAUCUGCCCCCCGGCCCGGGAUAGCCCAGGGAAACCUGGAUUAAUACCGGAUGAGACGGGACCCGCGAUGGCGGGACCCGGGAAAGGCGCUGCGGCGCCGCCGGGGGAUGAGUCUGCGUCCCAUUAGCUAGACGGCGGGGUAACGGCCCACCGUGGCGACGAUGGGUAGCCGGCCUGAGAGGGUGGACGGCCACAUUGGAACUGAGACACGGUCCAGACUCCUACGGGAGGCAGCAGCUAAGAAUCUUCCGCAAUGGGCGAAAGCCUGACGGAGCCGACGCCGCGUGAACGAAGAAGGCCGUGAGGUUGUAAAGUUCUUUUCGGGAGGGGGAACAACCGUGGCAGGGAAUGGCCGCGGGAUGACGUGAAUCCCGGAAUAAGCCCCGGCUAACUACGUGCCAGCCGCCGC
rnacentral:rRNA from 1 species